rnacentral:misc_RNA from 1 species
UCAGGCACAAUCACUGCUGUGCUUUCCUGGUGCCGUGCCGAGCGCCGAACGCCGAGCCGCGUCCGCCGAGCCGAAGGUGGCCGAAGGAGCCGAAGGCACGUCGUCCGGCUUCCACUUUUGGCGCCAAAAGUGCGGUCGCGCCCAACAGCAAUUUGGCGGGAAGGUUGGCCCGGGAAAGGAUCGCGCUUGUCGCAGGGAAAAUGGGAGGCCAGCAGCGGAGAAGGAAAACGGCACGGAAUCGACUCUGCAGACCGGUGACGUUGGUCUGCAUACUCUCCGCUAUCUGAGGAACACCCCGAGCUGUCGUCCUCGUCAAAUUUUAGAAAGCGCCGCCAUCAUCCAGGAUGCCGCAGCGCAGGUCCUCGGGGGCGAGGCGGGCGUCCGCCGGGGCCAGCCCCCCGGAGUCGCCGUCCUACGAGUUCCUGGGCAACCAGAAGCUGACCCCGCGCGCGGUGGCGCGACUGUCCCUGGCUCAUGUCGAGGCCGGCGGCCUCCGCGGCGGUCCCGGGGCCCCCGCCAACCGCAACACCAGGGGCGGCUGGAACAACCAGCUGGACUUCUUGUUCUCGUGCAUCUCGGUGUCCGUGGGGCUGGGCAACGUCUGGAGGUUCCCGUACCUCUGCUACAAGAACGGUGGCGGGACCUUCCUGCUGACGUACUUCGUGGCCAUGGUCUUCUGCGGCAUCCCCAUGUUCUUCCAGGAGGUGGCGCUGGGCCAGUACCUCGGCGCGGGCGGCAUGACGCUGGUCGGCACACUGUGCCCCCUCCUCAGAGGCACCGGCUACGCCACCAUGGCCAUCGUCUUUCUCCUCGACGUGUACUACUGCGUCAUCGUGGCGUGGACGCUUUUCUACCUUAUCGCAACCUUCACCAAGCUCCCCGGGCUGCCCUGGGAAACUUGCGGUAACUGGUGGAACACGGCGCGGUGCUCGACGGGCGCCAACGGCACGGCCCUCGGAGUGAACACGUCCAUGGUCCUGGAGGACAUGGAGGGCUUCGAGAUCCUGGCCAACGCGACCAACCGCAGCACGCCGGUCGAGGAGUUCUGGGAUCGGCGCGUGCUGCAGCUCACGGCCGGCCUGGAGGACCUGGGCGGCAUGCAGUGGGAGCUGCUGGGCUGCCUGCUGCUCGGAUGGCUGCUCGUGUACCUCAUCAUCUGCCGCGGCCUCCACGAGAGUGGCAAGAUCGUGUGGUUCACGGCGCUGUUCCCGUACGCCAUCAUGCUGGUGCUGGCGGGGCGCGCGCUCACGCUGCCCGGCGCGCUGGACGGGCUGGUGUUCCUGGUUGUGCCGGACUGGGGGGCGCUGCUGUCGGCGGGGCCCUGGAUCGACGGCGCCACGCAGAUCUUCUUCUCGUACUCCAUCGGCGUGGGCACGCUCCCCGCGCUCGGCUCUUACAACGCCUUCCACCACAACUGCCACAAGGACGCCAUCAUCACGUGCGUGGUGAACAGCGUGACGUGCUUGCUGGCCGGCGGCAUCACCUUCUCCAUCCUGGGCUACAUCGCGCACGUGCAGGGCGCGCGCGUCGCCGACGUCGUGUCCAGCGGCCCGGGGCUCGUGUUCAUCACCUACCCGGAGGUGGUGCAGCAGCUGCCGGGGGCGCCGGCCUGGGCCUUCAUCUUCUUCUUCAUGCUGCUGAUCCUCGGCGUGGACAGCGAGUUCUGCAACGUGGAGUCGUUCGUGACCGGCCUGGUGGACCGCUGGCCGCAGCAGCUGCAGCCCAGGAGGGGCGUCUUCACGCUGGCCGUGUGCGCCCUCAUGUUCCUCCUGGCCAUCCCUAUGGUGUCCCAGGGCGGCAUGUACGUGUUCCAGCUGAUGGACAUGUACGCCGCGUCGGGCAUCUCGCUGCUCUGGGUGGCCUUCUUCCAGACCGUCGCAGUGUCGUGGGUCUUCGGCGUGGGCAGGUUCGCCAAGUGCGUGCACGAGAUGACGGGCGUCAACCCCGGGCCCUUCUGGCGCCUGUGCUGGCUGGUGCUGGCCCCCGCCGUCAUGCUGGGCAUCUUCGUCUGGUCCGUGGUCCAGUACGUGCCCAUCCGCUACGGCAACUACGACUACCCCGCGUGGGGCGAGGCGCUGGGCCUGCUCGUGUCCUCCUUCUCCAUGGUCUGGAUCCCUGGCUACGCCGUGUUCUUCAUGCUCACGGCCAAGGGCAGCUUCAUGGAGGCGGCUAUCUAGUGGUCAAGGGGGGGCAGUUGUCCUUUAGCCCCCUCCCCCCUCCCUGGAUCCGCGCUUGCUAUGCGCGGAUGUGCGUCUACAUCUUUAAGCCUCAGAUUGCAGGUGCCGGCAAGAAGCAGGGGAAGUCGCCUCUCGGACCACAAGCUGAGUUAACGCAUUUAGACCGCUUCAAAGUGGUGAGCAACCCUCAAAUGGAGGUUGAGCGGCGAGCGGUGGCGGUGCAGGCAAGGCAGACGACUCAGACGACGCAGACCUUGGUCUUGGCUUAUCUCGGAGACGCCGCAGCGCAGUGCGCCGCACAGUGGGCCAGAAGACCGGUG